GAUGAACGCUGGCGGCGUGCCUAAUACAUGCAAGUCGAAACGAAGAACCUUCGGCUUUCUGCUUAGUGGCGAACGGGUGAGUAACGCGUGAGGAACCUGCCUCUCAGUGGGGGACAACAGUUGGAAACGACUGCUAAUACCGCAUAAUGCAUUUUUGUGGCAUCGCAGAAAUGCCAAAGCUGAGGCGCUGAAAGAUGAGCUCGCGUCUGAUUAGAUAGUUGGCGGAGUAACAGCCCACCAAGUCGACGAUCGGUAGCCGGACUGAGAGGUUGAACGGCCACAUUGGAACUGAGAUACGGUCCAGACUCCUACGGGAGGCAGCAGUGGGGAAUAUUGGGCAAUGGGCGAAAGCCUGACCCAGCGACGCCGCGUGAGGGAAGAAGAUCUUCGGAUUGUAAACCUUAGUCAACAGGGAAGAAGAAAGUGACGGUACCUGUGGAGGAAGCCACGGCUAACUACGUG
rnacentral:rRNA from 1 species